UACGAAGGGGGCUAGCGUUGCUCGGAAUUACUGGGCGUAAAGGGCGCGUAGGCGGACAGUUUAGUCAGAGGUGAAAGCCCCAGGGCUCAACCUUGGAAUAGCCUUUGAUACUGACUGUCUUGAGUUCGGGAGAGGUGAGUGGAAUGCCGAGUGUAGAGGUGAAAUUCGUAGAUAUUCGGCGGAACACCAGUGGCGAAGGCGACUCACUGGCCCGAUACUGACGCUGAGGCGCGAAAGCGUGGGAGCAACAGG
rnacentral:rRNA from 1 species